rnacentral:rRNA from 1 species
AUUGAACGCUGGCGGCAGGCCUAACACAUGCAAGUCGAACGAGUGGCGGACGGGUGAGUAAUGUCUGGGAACCUGCCCGAUGGAGGGGGAUAACUACUGGAAACGGUAGCUAAUACCGCAUACCAUCGGAUGUGCCCAGAUGUGAUUAGCUAGUAGGUGGGGUAACGGCUCACCUAGGCGCAGAUCCCUAGCUGGUCUGAGAGGAUGCCCAGCCACACUGGAACGGAGAAACGGUCCAGACUCCUACGGGAGGCAGCAGUGGGGAAUAUUGCACAAUGGGCGAAAGCCUGAUGCAGCCAGGCGGCGUGUAUGAAGAAGGCCUUCGGGUUGUAAAGUACUUUCAGCGAGGAGGGGUUACUCGCAGAAGAAGCACCGGCUAACUCCGGGCCAGCAGCCGCGGUAAUAC